UACGUAGGGGGCGAGCGUUGUCCGGAUUUAUUGGGCGUAAAGCGUGCGUAGGCGGCUGCGCAAGUCGGUUGUGAAACCCCGGGGCUCAACCCCGGAACUGCAUCCGAUACUGCGUGGCUAGAGGUAGGUAGGGGAGAUCGGAAUUCCUGGUGUAGCGGUGAAAUGCGCAGAUAUCAGGAGGAACACCGGUGGCGAAGGCGGAUCUCUGGGCCUUAACUGACGCUCAGGCACGAAAGCUAGGGGAGCAAACGGG
rnacentral:rRNA from 1 species